AACAUGGCCUUUUGAAUUUUGAUUUAAGGUCCGGCCUGCCCAAUGAAUAAUUUUAAUGGCUGCAGUAUUUUGACUGUACAAAGGUAGCAUAAUCAUUAGUUUUUUAAUUAAAAGCUCGUAUGAAUGGCUUAAUGAGAAAGAUUCUGUCUUUAUUUAAAUUUUUAUAGAAAUUUAUUUUUAAGUUAAAAAGCUUAAAUUUGUUUAAAAGACGAGAAGACCCUAUAGAGUUUUAUAAGCUAAUUAAUAAUUAAUGUUUAAGUAUAGAAUUUUAUUUGAUUAAUAAGUUUAUUUGGUUGGGGUGAUCUAAAAAUUUAAUAAACUUUUUAUUUUUUAAACAUAAAUUUAUGAUUAACUGAUCCAUUGAGAUGUGAUUAAAAGAUUAAAUUACCUUAGGGAUAACAGCGUAAUUUUUUUGGAGAGUUCUUAUCAAUAAAAAAGGUUGCGACCUCGAUGUUGGAUUAAAAUUUACUAUUGGCGCAGAAGUUGAUGGGUUAGGUCUGUUCGACCUUUAAAAUUUUACAUGAUCUGAGUUUAAACCGGUGUGAGCCAGG
rnacentral:rRNA from 1 species